rnacentral:lncRNA from 1 species
GUUUUGUUUUUAAUUAAAAGCUAUUUAAAAAGAUGAAUGUGGCCAAAGUUUUACACAAUUGAAAGGAAAGUAAAACGGGCGGCACGUGUUGAAACCUGAGUUUAUCAGGCAUGGCAGGAAGUUGCAGGAGAGAGGCAGUGACCCAAGCCAGUGCACUUGAUGUUCAUGGACAUAUAUUUUUUUUAAAUAAUAAAUUAAAGUAAAACAUUUUAAAUAGAAGCAUAAAACUGAGUUGGUUGGUUGGCGCUGAGGUACUGCCCACUGUGAAACAAAGCUUUGACUAGUUUUUUGUUUUGUUUACUUUCUUUGGGGGGGGAGGGGGGGCAAGUUUGGGUAGGAAAGAAAGCAUAAAUGAACGUGACCCUGAGGUAAAGAGGUAUAUGAACAGCCUUUGCAAUGUACAAAAAAAAAAAAACAAAAACAAAAACAAAAAAAACAACAACAUAAAAAAACAAAAAAACAAACAAAAACAAAAAAAAAACAAAAACAAAAAAAAUAGAGCAAGUGAAACCAAAAAUGAUGUUCUUGGUGUUUUUCUAUAAUGUAGUCUUGUUAGCUUUUUUGUUACUGUAACAAUGCUGAUCUCGAACUGUACCAAAAUACAUGGAGACUAACCGAACCGCAAGGGACUCUCAAACUGAAAAAGAAAUUUGUCACAAAAACUUUGUUGUCAUAGUUAAGUUGAUUGUAGAUGGUAAUUGAAUAUACUCCUUUGAAAAUAUUUCAUCAAGUAUGUUUCCUGCUCAUUGUGAUACAUUAAAAAAAAAUAUGAGC